rnacentral:rRNA from 1 species
GAUCCUGACUCAGGAUGAACGCUAGCUACAGGCUUAACACAUGCAAGUCGAGGGGCAGCAUGGUCUUAGCUUGCUAAGGCCGAUGGCGACCGGCGCACGGGUGAGUAACGCGUAUCCAACCUGCCUUACACUCUUGGACAGCCUUCUGAAGGGGAGAUUAAUACAAGAUGUUAUCAUGAGUAAGCAUUUUCGCAUGAUUAAAGGUUUACCGGUGUAAGAUGGGGAUGCGUUCCA